GGACUACUCGGGUUUCUAAUCCUGUUUGCUCCCCACGCUUUCGUGUCUCAGCGUCAGUGAUGGUCCAGAAAGCCGUCUACACCACCGGUGUUCCUCCUGAUAUCUACGCAUUUCACCGCUACACCAGGAAUUCCGCUUUCCUCUCCCAUACUCGAGCCCUCCAGUUUCCGGCGCACCCUCCCAGUUGAGCCGGGAGAUUUCACACCGAACUUAGAGGACCGCCUACACACUCUUUACGCCCAGUAACUCCGAACAACGCUUGCUGCCUACGUAUUACCGCGGCGGCUGGCAC
rnacentral:rRNA from 1 species